GGAUGAACGCUGGCGGCAUGCUUACCCCAUGCAAGUCGAACGAUGAAGCCCAGCUUGCUGGGUGGAUUAGUGGCGAACGGGUGAGUAACACGUGAGUAACCUGCCCUUAACUCUGGGAUAAGCCUGGGAAACUGGGUCUAAUACCGGAUAGGAGCGUCCACCGCAUGGUGGGUGUUGGAAAGAUUUAUCGGUUUUGGAUGGACUCGCGGCCUAUCAGCUUGUUGGUGAGGUAAUGGCUCACCAAGGCGACGACGGGUAGCCGGCCUGAGAGGGUGACCGGCCACACUGGGACUGAGACACGGCCCAGACUCCUACGGGAGGCAGCAGUGGGGAAUAUUGCACAAUGGGCGCAAGCCUGAUGCAGCGACGCCGCGUGAGGGAUGACGGCCUUCGGGUUGUAAACCUCUUUCAGUAGGGAAGAAGCGAAAGUGACGGUACCUGCAGAAGAAGCACCGGCUAACUACGUG
rnacentral:rRNA from 1 species